rnacentral:rRNA from 1 species
UACGGAGGGUGCAAACGUUGCUCGGAAUCAUUGGGCGUAAAGCGCACGUAGGCGGCCUGAUAAGUCGGGUGUGAAAGCCCUGGGCUCAACCCAGGAAGUGCACUCGAAACUGUCAGGCUUGAAUAUGGAAGAGGGUCGCGGAAUUCCCGGUGUAGAGGUGAAAUUCGUAGAUAUCGGGAGGAACACCAGUGGCGAAGGCGG